rnacentral:rRNA from 1 species
UAUCUCUGUAGAGUCUGCAUAUCAAUAAGCGGAGGAAAAGAAACUAACUAGGAUUCCCUCAGUAACGGCGAGUGAAGCGGGAAGAGCUCAAAUUUGAAAUCUCCAAGGUUCUACCUUGACGAAUUGUAGUUUAAAGAAGUGUUUUCUGUUGGAGUUUUGGUAAAAGUUCUUCGGAAUAGGACAUCAUAGAGGGUGAGAAUCCCGUAUUUGACCAUUAUUUCCAGCUUUGUGAUACACUUUCAAAGAGUCGGAUUGUUUGGGAAUGCAGGUCCAAAAUGGGUGGUAAAUUUCAUCUAAAGCUAAAUACUGGCGAGAGACCGAUAGCGAACAAGUACCGUGAGGGAAAGAUGAAAAGAACUUUGAAAAGAGAGUUAAACAGUACGUGAAAUUGUCAAAAGGGAAGCGUUUGACACCAGUGUUGUUUUCUCGAAAAUCAAUUAAAAAUGGCAGGAUUUUGUGUUGUAUUGACUUUAUCAGCUUUCUGCACUCUUUUCCUGUCUUUUUUAAUGCACUUUUCGUUUAACAAGUCAACAUCAAUUUCUUUUGUUGUAAAAGAGGUCAUUGGAAGGUGGCUUUCUUUUCGGAGAAAGUGUUUAUAGCCUUUGGCCUCUGCAAUCGGAGAGAUUGAGGUCUGCAGCGUAGAUCCUUCGGGGUUAGAUACAUUUGUGCUAAGUUAUAGCCUUUCAUAGACAACUUGUUGACUAUGAUCAGUCAUGUAGCUUACUCGCUUAUGCUAUUUUACCUACGCUUAGGAUGUUGAGUCAUCACACAUCUCU